GCUCGGUGUAUUUCUGUCAUUUGUUGCCUUAGUAUCAAAAUCUCUUGCUUUAAACUCUCAUUUUCCCGACUUUUUGUCUGAUCCAGGAUGUCACUCUCUAUAUCCUUGUUAGAUAUGACUAACUCUUCCUUAGACUUGGUGUGAUGUGGAGGACCAGCCAGAAUGCCACAAACCAACCACCUUAGACUAACUGAAGAAGAGGUAACAAAUGUGUUAGAGUUCAACAUUUUUUCAAAACCUCUUUUUUUUUAAAAAAAAGAUCACCGAACCCAAGAAGGGCGCCUAAGUAUUUCACCCCCUAGAGGAGAGAAUUAGGUGUGCGUAGUUUGUGAAGUUCGACCGCAAAAUGGCCAAUCAAACUCUUUUUUCUUUUUCUUGUAACUUUAGAAGAAAAGAAAGUAACAAAUUGUCAAAAGAACUGACAAAAAUCUUUUUUUGAAUCUUUUAGCUUUAACAUCCCUAUACAAAAUGAAACCUAUGAUUAUCAAAGAAAAAUAUUUUUGGGUUUUCGAUUUUGAAUUUCAUAUGAAAAUGAAACUUGAAACUAUUAAAGGAAAAUCUUUUUGUAGUUUUCUUUUAAAGAUGUAUAUGACACCUACUCUAAAUGAAGAGUGAAGAAACUUUUUUAAAAUUUUUCAGAUUCCUGUACAAAAUGAAACCUAUGAUUACCAAAGAAAAAUCUUUUUGGGUUUUCAAUUUUGAAUUUUAUAUGAAAAUGAAACUUGAAACUAUUAAAGGGAAAUAUUUUUGUGGUUUUCUUUUAGAGAUAUAUAUAUGACUCCUACUCUAAUAAAGAGUGAAGAAAAUCUUUUUAAAUUUUUUAAAUAAGAUCCCCGAACCCACAAUAGGUUGCCUACAUAUCUCACUCCCGAGAGAAGAGAAUUAGGGGAGGGUAGUUCGUCCAGAUUAGAAAUUAAGAAUUAAUUAAUAAAAUAAACCUUGAUUUAAGAGACACAACCAAAGACAGACGAUGAAAAACGUCAAUAAAAUCUUUUUGGAUUUUUAAUUAGACACUUCACAUAAAACUGACACCAAUAAUUAUGAAAGAAAAAUAUUUUUUGGUAUUUUUGUUAUAUUAAAUAUACAAAACUUCUACCAUUUUUUUAAAAGUUUUUCUUUUAUAAAAAACUCCUAUUGAAAGAAAUCUUUUUUAAAAUUUUCAAAUUAUGAAUGCUUGCUAAAGAAACAAAAGGAAAAUCUUUUUGAUGUUUUUGUUUUGACAAUAUGAAUGCAAAAGGUAAAAAAAUCUUUUUGCAUUUUUGGAUUGUGAAAAACAAAAGCCAUAAAGAACUUUAAAAACUACGAAACUCUUUUUUUGACUCGCCUUUUCUUUUUCUGUUCUUUUUCCGAUUUUUCCUUGCCUACACACUAGAUUUUUCUUUUUGAUUUUUUCUUGUCUACACACUUUCUUUAAUACUUGCACAUGUUUUUUCCCAAAUCAGUCCGUCAAAUGACCCUAUUACCCUUAAAGAUGUGACAAUUAGCACUUAGGGAUGCUUUAGGGGUGAGUCUCCUACAAAGGACCAAGUGAGUCUCGCUAGGUCUCAAUAUGAUGCAGAUAAGCAUGAACUAAAGGCUGACCUAGAUGGGGUUCACUAACAAGGCUGUUCGGGGGAGCGUAUGAUCGAUAGUUGCUGCGACAACUUUCCACCUACUCUAUACACCCAAUGGCCCUCCCUCCUAAAAUUAGGGUGACUCAACUAGAGGUCAUGUACACACGUGUACUAUGAGACUUGUUGUGAAAGAAUGACCCGAGGUAAUGCACAUGAUGCCAGACAUAAAGCGGUAACACAUAAGAGAAAAAACUAUAAACAAAGAGCACAUAAGCAUCCAACAAUGAUAAAACAAUAACACAAAUAUUAACAAAAAUAAAAUGUCUAUACACCUAUAAUGUCAAACUAAGCCGAUACAACUAAAAAAUAAGCUCAAAUUCUAAAAAAUUUCCGGAAGAGUCGCCAGAGCUGUCACACCCCUUUUUAAUCAAAAAAGAUAAAUUUUAAGUUUGAAAGGGUUUUAUUAUUAAGUGACAAAAAGGAAAUUUAUUUCAAAAAGGAUUGUUACGUUUAAACUCAGAGUCGCCACUUGGCAUAAAUCGAGCGUGUCAAGUCACCUUUGGAAAUCCUUUUCAAAAUGGUUUGACUCUAAAAACUGAUCCACGAACAGAGAUUUCGGUUAAGGAAUUCUGUUGACCGAGGGAAAGGUGUUAGGCACCCCUUGGUCCCGUGGUUCAACUACAGUCUCUUCGUGGAGUAUAUCAACUAGUACGACACUAUGAAUAUAUAAGCCACAUUAAACACACAAAACAAUCAAACAAACAAAUAAACAAAACAAGUUCAAAAAUAUAGUGUCUAGUCCAAUUAUUACAGUCCAAAAUAAAAGAUACUUAAAUGAAACUACGCUAACCUACACUAUUCCUAAACUAUGCUCUACCCAAUGCCUCGGGCCUUGACCACGAUCAUCUUUCGCCAACAUAAUACGUCGAGGUAUUCUCCAGUGAAUAAAUACAAUGAGCCUCGGGGCAUUUUCCGGCUAAAUGAAUACAUUUAAUGAAAUGAAAUAAAAAUGGAGAAAUCACUCAACAUAAACAUUUACACAUUUGAUGAUUAGAAUCUUACGAGUUGCCUACCCCAAAACCUAGAAUUCGCCUAUUGAUUUAAAGAUCUAAUCAUGAUACUAUCGUGUUCAACAACAUUCAUAUUUAAACCAAACUAAAAAAACAUCAAUAAAUCUAAAUUAAUCCAUGUUCACCUUUUUAUCCAUUUUUUCAUUUUCGUCCCCAAUUACAUUCACAAUCACAUGCAGUUACUCAAUUUUAAGAUAGCAAUCCAGGAAACGACACUCCACAUUAUUCAAAUAUACUCAAAACAUACCAACAAAUCACAAAAUCCACCACAUUUAAAUCACGCAAUCAAUAUCAAACACCAUAUUAAAAUAUAAAUGAAAGAAGAACAGAGUUGAUGAAUCAAACUUCAAUCAAUGAUUUUAUUUCGAUUAAACCGGAUUACUUGAUCGAGAAUCGUCAGACCUCAAUACAAAUCAAAACUCGACAAACUUUGAUCACGAACUCAGUUUAAUCACCAAAUCAGACCAAAAAAUAUUGAAAUAACGAACAAAUUUUACCUAAAUGGGAUUGGAAUCAGAAUUUCGCUGGAUUAUCUUUAUUUUCAUGGACUAACUGUAACUGUGUCGCUGACUUCCCAAUGGAUUUGAACUAUUUUGAAGAGUUUCCAGCAAGAUAUUUUAUUGCCGGAAAAGGAACAACAACAGUGGACUAUUUGGUCGGGUUUGGGGAUAUCAUCGGUGGUAUUUGGGUACUUUGGUCGGUGAUUUUUUGGUGGAGCCGUUUUGGUUGAAAAUGGCAGUGGGUUUGCAGUCGAACAGUGAUGGAGUUACGAUUCUGGCGAGAAUUCAUCGGAAAAUCUAUUCCUCUUCGAUUUUCUCUUCUUUUUCAACUUUCUAUGCUUGUCUUGAUCUCUCCCUCUCAUUGUUCUCUCUCGAUCUUCUUUCUUUGUCCGUUCAAUCUCUCUCGCUCAAUUCAUAGCAUUUUUGUGUGAGUUUAGUGUUGUUGUGUCAAUGAAAAAUAGAAAUAGUGAGGUGUGUCUCUAUCUAUAUGUAUCUGGUGGUGAGUGUGUGUAUAUAUCAAUGAGUGUAUUAGUGUUUUGUGAAAGAUUCUUCCCCCUCCCCUCAGCUUUCUCUAUUCCUCCAUUUUUAUAUAUCAGGUGUGUGUGAGUAUAUCCCCCUUUCUCUGAUGUGUGGUGUGUGUUUAUAUGUUUGGUGUAUGUGUGAUGUUUCUAUAAGUGCUUUGUAUGUAUAUUGAUGCAUGUGUGUAUGUAUAUGUGAUAGUGUAUAUGAAUAAUGUGUGCGUAUAUGGUCCCAAUUCUCUUUUGUGAGAGUGUUCAGCUACGUAUGUUAGUGUGGUCCCUGGAAUUGUGGAGUAUGUGGGUAUGUAUAUGUGUGUGUUAAUAUAAUAGUGAGUGGGUUUUUUAGUGUGUAUGUAAGGUGUGUGUUCUGUGUGUUUAUUAUUCUUUGAAUGAUGUAUUAAUGGUGAGAGUAUUUUUGGUGUGAUCUCUUUUU
rnacentral:lncRNA from 1 species